rnacentral:rRNA from 1 species
GACAGAGGGUGCAAACGUUGUUCGGAAUUACUGGGCGUAAAGCGAGUGUAGGCGGUCUGAAAAGUCGGGUGUGAAAGCCCCGGGCUCAACCCGGGAAGUGCACUCGAAACUGCCAGGCUAGAGUAUCGGAGAGGUUGGUGGAAUUCUCGGUGUAGAGGUGAAAUUCGUAGAUAUCGAGAGGAACACCGGUGGCGAAGGCGGCCAACUGGACGAAUACUGACGCUGAGAAUCGAAAGCGUGGGGAGCAAACAGG